rnacentral:rRNA from 1 species
UACGUAGGGUGCAGGCGUUAGUCGGAAUUACUGGGCGUAAAGCGUGCGCAGGCGGCUCCUUAAGUCAGAUGUGAAAGCCCCGGGCUUAACCUGGGAACUGCGUUUGAAACUGGGGGGCUAGAGUGUGGAAGAGGGGGGUGGAAUUCCAGGUGUAGCAGUGAAAUGCGUAGAGAUCUGGAGGAACACCGAUGGCGAAGGCAGCCCCCUGGGCUAACACUGACGCUCAUGCACGAAAGCGUGGGGAGCAAACAGG